rnacentral:rRNA from 1 species
GGUUCUAGCGGCGGACGGGUUAGUAACGCGUGGGAACGUGCCCUUCACUACGGAAUAGUCCCGGGAAACUGGGUUUAAUACCGUAUACGCCCUUCGGGGGAAAGAAUUUCGGUGAAGGAUCGGCCCGCGUUAGAUUAGAUAGUUGGUGGGGUAACGGCCUACCAAGUCUACGAUCUAUAGCUGGUUUUAGAGGAUGAUCAGCAACACUGGGACUGAGACACGGCCCAGACUCCUACGGGAGGCAGCAGUGGGGAAUCUUAGACAAUGGGCGCAAGCCUGAUCUAGCCAUGCCGCGUGAGUGAUGAAGGCCUUAGGGUCGUAAAGCUCUUUCGCCAGGGAUGAUAAUGACAGUACCUGGUAAAGAAACCCCGGCUAACUCCGUGCCAGCAGCCGCGGUAAUACGGAGGGGGUUAGCGUUGUUCGGAAUUACUGGGCGUAAAGCGCGCGUAGGCGGAUUGGAAAGUUGGGGGUGAAAUCCCAGGGCUCAACCCUGGAACUGCCUCCAAAACUAUCAGUCUAGAGUUCGAGAGAGGUGAGUGGAACUCCGAGUGUAGAGGUGAAAUUCGUAGAUAUUCGGAAGAACACCAGUGGCGAAGGCGGCUCACUGGCUCGAUACUGACGCUGAGGUGCGAAAGUGUGGGGAGCAAACAGGAUUAGAUACCCUGGUAGUCCACACCGUAAACGAUGAAUGCCAGUCGUCGGAUAGCAUGCUAUUCGGUGACACACCUAA